ensembl:lncRNA
ACUGCUUAGUUCAAGGCUGUGGUUAGGGCUGACACCCCUGGGGCGGGUGUGGGCAUCCCUGACAUCGCAGCAGUGGUUUGGUUUACACAGGCUGUUUGAUGGCAGGGGUGAACCUGGGGAACCUUCAGAGGAUUGGUUGUGUUAACCCCGGCUUCCUGGGGCUGGGGGAGCCCUCCCUCAUCUCUGCAGCGUUGGGGCGCAGAGGCUGCAGGAUCAGGAUUGGUGUGGGCGAGGAGGGAGGGGAAGGGGCCAUGCUGACAGCAGAGCUGCGCCUCCUGUCAGAGCGGCCUCAAGACCAGCCAUGAAGUAACCUGGGGACACUGAGCCAAGUUGUCCUUGUCCAUCCUGGGGUCAAGCUGAACUCCACUGCACUGACACGGAAAAGGGAAGGCAGGGCUGCUUCCCCUCAAGAGCCUUCACCUCAUGCCACCUGGAGGCCCUCUCCCGUGGGUCACCCACUCCCAAGCUUCUUGCGCCUGACCUUGGCUCUCAGGAGAGACAGAAGACUGCAGAUGGGAUGAGAUUCCAGUUCAGUUCAGAUCCAUCACCAAAUGGAGGAUGGGCAUGGUGGACCAGGACGCACUGCAGAGCCAAGACGUGCGGCUCGGAGAGCGAGGACCCAUUGGGUGUUUCUGCUCUACUCCGUUCUGCAAAGAAACAGGAAGUGGCCGGUGCUGCACAGAGAGAGGUGCUGGCCAGGAGCCUAGAAUCUUCCCUCUGCUUUGGGAAGAAAUGUGAAGAUGGUCUGCGUUUGGAGCGAGCCCAGGGCGGAGGACGUUUGUCUGACAGCGUGGGCAGUUCAGCUCCUGCCCCAUCCUGCCAAGCAAUGGCCCAGGAACUGGCUGUCGGCAAAGUUUUGCUGCUGGAGGAACUGGCUCAGCAUGUUAAAGAGUUUUCCACACUGUCUGCAUUUGGCUGAAUUCGUUUUCUCUGACCUUGCGUGUUCUGUGAACUUGUGGUGAGAUGGAGACACAGUCCGAUUUCAGUUCGAGCCUUGGGGGAGGUCCUCACGGGCCAUGUGCUCCACCACCCGCGCCUGACGUCUGCUCACUCCCUUGUGUGCGCUGUGCAGCUGCUGGUGACACCUGUGCCCCACUGGGACUUGCAAGUGGCAACAGCAGAUCACACCACUCCUUUAUGUUUGUUUAGCCAACGUGCUCUACACAGAGAAACUCCUCCUUGUCCGCUAUUUGACUGACAUUCAGAUGUACAGGAAAGUGCCUCACUGCUUGCUCCUCUUCCUCUAUUUGCUGGUACUGUGUGGUGGCACAUGUCUGCAAUCCCAGUGCCGCAGGAGGCUGAAGCAGGCAGGAAGACCACAGGCGCAAGCCCACCCUGGGCUCCUAAUGGCUUAGUGAGGCCCUGGCUUAGAAUAACAAAAAGUAAAAGAGGCCUUGGCAUGCAGCUUGGCGCAAAGGCCUUGGGCUCAGCCCCCAGCACUGCACUACAGCAGCGACAACAACACAGCAACAAUGUGUCCUCUAGGCCCAACAAAUGUGAUCAAUGAAGUUUCCACCGAUACGAUUUUAAAUGCAGCAAACUAAAUUCAGGGGUUUUUUUCUGUUUUAAAAAGUUGAUAUAUUUAACAGCUGUGUUAAUAAAUUCAACCUUUACUAUUAUAGAACACUAUAACAACUGCUUAUCUAUAACAACUUCUAAAUAAGUAUUACUUGAAUUUUACUAAAAUAUUGGUAAUCAUAUACAUUGAAGACUAGAAGUGAUGUCAGAAAUAAUUUAGUACGGGCUGGGGAUUUAGCUCAGUGAUUCCAUCACCUGCCUCGCAAGCACAAGGUCCUGAGUUUGAUCCCCAGUACCAGAAAAACAAAAAAGAAAGAAAGAAAUAAUUUAGUACAAAAGCUUAUAGGUAAAAGACAUCAAGCCCCAAAGAAGCUAGAAGACCGCUACAGAAUAUACAGGGUUACACUAUGAGAGUCCAACUACCUAGUAAAGAAUGGUCAUAACUUCUGGAUUGUUACUGUUAAAGUUUGUUUUCUUUCUGCUACAUACUGCCUGGGAUGAAAUGUUAUGAAUUUCCCCCUGAAAUUUAAUAGUGCGAUUUGCAUUAAUAGCAAGAUAACAUCAGGAGAAAAUUAGUAAAAAUAAAUGACUUUUAUUCAAAUGAAAUAUUCUCAAUUCAGGAUUUUUAAAUACACCUGAUGGCUCGAUACAUGGUCACGGCAUUGUCACUGACGCGCCAGGCUCUGGUCGGCCACUGGGCCCCUGGACACAGCCU